GCGGGACUGCCCGGUGCGCGCUUUAGCGAUUAUCCCUGAGGCGAUUAAAUCUCCAUGGGAGCUGUCCCUGUUCGGACCCUGGUCCGAUGCAUAUGGCCCCCACCUGACGUUACUGGCGUCAGAGGAUAUUCAAGCAAACGGCCCAUGGUGGUUCCGCC
rnacentral:other from 1 species